rnacentral:rRNA from 1 species
UAAGUUGGUAGUGAAAGCGUUCGGCUCAACCGAAUAACAUUACCAAACUGCAAAGCUAGAGGAUGAGAGAGGUUAUUGGAAUUCCCUGUGUAGGAGUGAAAUCCGUAGAUAUAGGGAGGAACACCGAUGGCGUAGGCAGAUAACUGGCUCAUUCCUGACACUAAGGCACGAAAGCGUGGGUAGCAAACGGGAUUAGAUACCCCGGUAGUCCACGCCGUAAACUAUGGAUGCUA